rnacentral:rRNA from 1 species
UUAAGCGACUAAGCGUACACGGUGGAUGCCCUGGCAGUCAGAGGCGAUGAAGGACGUGCUAAUCUGCGAUAAGCGUCGGUAAGGUGAUAUGAACCGUUAUAACCGGCGAUUUCCGAAUGGGGAAACCCAGUGUGAUUCGUCACACUAUCAUUAACUGAAUCCAUAGGUUAAUGAGGCGAACCGGGGGAACUGAAACAUCUAAGUACCCCGAGGAAAAGAAAUCAACCGAGAUUCCCCCAGUAGCGGCGAGCGAACGGGGAGCAGCCCAGAGCCUGAAUCAGUGUGUGUGUUAGUGGAAGCGUCUGGAAAGGCGCGCGAUACAGGGUGACAGCCCCGUACACAAAAAUGCACAUACUGUGAGCUCGAUGAGUAGGGCGGGACACGUGGUAUCCUGUCUGAAUAUGGGGGGACCAUCCUCCAAGGCUAAAUACUCCUGACUGACCGAUAGUGAACCAGUACCGUGAGGGAAAGGCGAAAAGAACCCCGGCGAGGGGAGUGAAAAAGAACCUGAAACCGUGUACGUACAAGCAGUGGGAGCACGCUUAGGCGUGUGACUGCGUACCUUUUGUAUAAUGGGUCAGCGACUUAUAUUCUGUAGCAAGGUUAACCGAAUAGGGGAGCCGAAGGGAAACCGAGUCUUAACUGGGCGUUAAGUUGCAGGGUAUAGACCCGAAACCCGGUGAUCUAGCCAUGGGCAGGUUGAAGGUUGGGUAACACUAACUGGAGGACCGAACCGACUAAUGUUGAAAAAUUAGCGGAUGACUUGUGGCUGGGGGUGAAAGGCCAAUCAAACCGGGAGAUAGCUGGUUCUCCCCGAAAGCUAUUUAGGUAGCGCCUCGUGAAUUCAUCUCCGGGGGUAGAGCACUGUUUCGGCAAGGGGGUCAUCCCGACUUACCAACCCGAUGCAAACUGCGAAUACCGGAGAAUGUUAUCACGGGAGACACACGGCGGGUGCUAACGUCCGUCGUGAAGAGGGAAACAACCCAGACCGCCAGCUAAGGUCCCAAAGUCAUGGUUAAGUGGGAAACGAUGUGGGAAGGCCCAGACAGCCAGGAUGUUGGCUUAGAAGCAGCCAUCAUUUAAAGAAAGCGUAAUAGCUCACUGGUCGAGUCGGCCUGCGCGGAAGAUGUAACGGGGCUAAACCAUGCACCGAAGCUGCGGCAGCGACACUAUGUGUUGUUGGGUAGGGGAGCGUUCUGUAAGCCUGCGAAGGUGUGCUGUGAGGCAUGCUGGAGGUAUCAGAAGUGCGAAUGCUGACAUAAGUAACGAUAAAGCGGGUGAAAAGCCCGCUCGCCGGAAGACCAAGGGUUCCUGUCCAACGUUAAUCGGGGCAGGGUGAGUCGACCCCUAAGGCGAGGCCGAAAGGCGUAGUCGAUGGGAAACAGGUUAAUAUUCCUGUACUUGGUGUUACUGCGAAGGGGGGACGGAGAAGGCUAUGUUGGCCGGGCGACGGUUGUCCCGGUUUAAGCGUGUAGGCUGGUUUUCCAGGCAAAUCCGGAAAAUCAAGGCUGAGGCGUGAUGACGAGGCACUACGGUGCUGAAGCAACAAAUGCCCUGCUUCCAGGAAAAGCCUCUAAGCAUCAGGUAACAUCAAAUCGUACCCCAAACCGACACAGGUGGUCAGGUAGAGAAUACCAAGGCGCUUGAGAGAACUCGGGUGAAGGAACUAGGCAAAAUGGUGCCGUAACUUCGGGAGAAGGCACGCUGAUAUGUAGGUGAAGUCCCUCGCGGAUGGAGCUGAAAUCAGUCGAAGAUACCAGCUGGCUGCAACUGUUUAUUAAAAACACAGCACUGUGCAAACACGAAAGUGGACGUAUACGGUGUGACGCCUGCCCGGUGCCGGAAGGUUAAUUGAUGGGGUCAGCGCAAGCGAAGCUCUUGAUCGAAGCCCCGGUAAACGGCGGCCGUAACUAUAACGGUCCUAAGGUAGCGAAAUUCCUUGUCGGGUAAGUUCCGACCUGCACGAAUGGCGUAAUGAUGGCCAGGCUGUCUCCACCCGAGACUCAGUGAAAUUGAACUCGCUGUGAAGAUGCAGUGUACCCGCGGCAAGACGGAAAGACCCCGUGAACCUUUACUAUAGCUUGACACUGAACAUUGAGCCUUGAUGUGUAGGAUAGGUGGGAGGCUUUGAAGUGUGGACGCCAGUCUGCAUGGAGCCGACCUUGAAAUACCACCCUUUAAUGUUUGAUGUUCUAACGUUGACCCGUGAUCCGGGUUGCGGACAGUGUCUGGUGGGUAGUUUGACUGGGGCGGUCUCCUCCUAAAGAGUAACGGAGGAGCACGAAGGUUGGCUAAUCCUGGUCGGACAUCAGGAGGUUAGUGCAAUGGCAUAAGCCAGCUUGACUGCGAGCGUGACGGCGCGAGCAGGUGCGAAAGCAGGUCAUAGUGAUCCGGUGGUUCUGAAUGGAAGGGCCAUCGCUCAACGGAUAAAAGGUACUCCGGGGAUAACAGGCUGAUACCGCCCAAGAGUUCAUAUCGACGGCGGUGUUUGGCACCUCGAUGUCGGCUCAUCACAUCCUGGGGCUGAAGUAGGUCCCAAGGGUAUGGCUGUUCGCCAUUUAAAGUGGUACGCGAGCUGGGUUUAGAACGUCGUGAGACAGUUCGGUCCCUAUCUGCCGUGGGCGCUGGAGAACUGAGGGGGGCUGCUCCUAGUACGAGAGGACCGGAGUGGACGCAUCACUGGUGUUCGGGUUGUCAUGCCAAUGGCACUGCCCGGUAGCUAAAUGCGGAAGAGAUAAGUGCUGAAAGCAUCUAAGCACGAAACUUGCCCCGAGAUGAGUUCUCCCUGACCCUUUAAGGGUCCUGAAGGAACGUUGAAGACGACGACGUUGAUAGGCCGGGUGUGUAAGCGCAGCGAUGCGUUGAGCUAACCGGUACUAAUGAACCGUGAGGCUUAACCUU